UAAUUAACCUGACAGGGGAGAUGCCAGGAUCCUAAAAGUGAUUUUCUCAAGGUGAAGCUUCCCCAUUGCAUUGGUUGAGCUUGUUUGUGCUGACCCCAGCAGUGUCCCCAAAUGCAGGGAAACCAGCUGCCUAAUGAGUGAUAGUUAGAGCUUUGUUUGGACUCUCUCC
rnacentral:snRNA from 1 species